rnacentral:misc_RNA from 1 species
AUGGAGGAACGAUUAUCCACAACAUCAUCGUAUCCGUCACAUCCAGGUAGAAGCGUGGAAGAGGAUCACAACACUCUGCUCGCAUCCUCCUCGAUAUCAUCAAUCAUUCGAGGAACCCGUGGACACCUCAACAAUUUUAUCGAGUCCGUUGGGAAUUGGCUGGUUCCAUCAUCAUCUGGUCGAGACGACGACGCUGUCUCUUUGGAUAGUUGCCAAUCAGUGUACAGUCCUGUUCGUCAUCACAUAAACAGUGGAACAGGAGGAGGAAUUCUCAUGGAACCAUCCUCUAUUCAUGUUCCCGAAAACUAUUAUUCGGUGACAAUAGGGGAAGCGCAGAUGGUUGUUCUCAAACGAUAUCAAAAUCUCAGGUUGAUCGGGUCUGGUGCUCAGGGAAUUGUUUGCUCAGCGUUUGAUACGGUACGGAACGAACAAGUUGCCAUAAAGAAAUUAUCAAGGCCAUUUCAAAAUGUGACACAUGCAAAGAGGGCUUAUCGAGAAUUAAAACUCAUGAGUCUUGUAAAUCAUAAAAAUAUCAUAGGUAUUCUGAAUUGUUUUACACCACAAAAGAAACUCGACGAAUUCAACGAUCUUUAUAUUGUUAUGGAACUUAUGGAUGCAAAUCUUUGUCAAGUGAUUCAAAUGGAUUUGGAUCAUGAGAGAUUAUCAUAUCUUCUUUAUCAAAUGUUAUGUGGUAUCAGGCAUUUACAUAGUGCUGGAAUUAUACACAGGGAUUUGAAACCAUCAAACAUUGUCGUUCGAAGUGAUUGUACUCUAAAAAUCUUGGAUUUCGGAUUGGCUCGAACUGCGAUUGAGGCAUUCAUGAUGACUCCUUACGUUGUGACAAGAUACUAUCGGGCACCGGAAGUUAUUUUAGGAAUGGGUUACAAGGAAAAUGUUGAUGUUUGGUCAAUUGGGUGUAUAUUUGGAGAGCUGAUACGUGGACGUGUACUAUUCCCGGGUGGUGACCAUAUCGAUCAGUGGACUAGGAUUAUUGAACAAUUGGGUACUCCGGAUAGGUCAUUUUUAGAACGGUUACAACCAACUGUCAGAAAUUAUGUGGAAAAUCGGCCAAGAUAUCAAGCAACGCCGUUUGAAGUUCUCUUCAGUGAUAACAUGUUCCCAAUGACAGCUGACAGCUCAAGACUUACAGGUGCUCAAGCUCGUGACUUACUUUCUCGAAUGUUAGUCAUAGAUCCGGAAAGAAGGAUUUCUGUGGAUGAUGCACUGAGACAUCCAUAUGUCAAUGUUUGGUUUGAUGAAAUUGAAGUAAGAUUUUUUCCUAUUACACAACACAAAAUAUACAGUUAAAUAUGAAUGACUUUUCAAAAACCGAAAUCCUAUUUUUUGCGUGGAAGAAAAACUCUAAAAUCCGGACUCCGGAUGGCCAGCCCUAAUAAAAUUUGAAUAAUGUUGCUGAAUCAAUUUCAAAAUAAAACAUAUGUUAAUUGAGAUUUUGAAACAGUGAUAAUUUUUCACUUUCGUUUAUUUUUAUUUUGUUGAAAACAAAUAAAGGUUAUAUUGCGGUAACCUUAUUAAAAACAGCUUAAAAUUUGUAUCUUUUUCCGAUAUCUGUACAGAAUUUAUAUUAUUAAAAAGGUCGAGUGAGGAGUCUACUAAGGGUCACACGUCAAUUUCAACCGGGUCGAACGUCCAAUAUUGAAUUUGAGCAUAAUAAUAAUAUCUACUAAUUAUUCAAUGUUUUCGCUAAAUUAGUGAUGGGACAAACAAUUGCAACGAAAAAUACAAUAUACAUCUUAGCUUUGAAACAGUAAUUUUUUUUUUCUUGUUAAAUAUGUUUUUUUGUUAUUUUCUGUUUGAAGCUUGAAAAUAACACGAAGCAUAUUUGGUAAGAAAAAAUUUACUGUUUCAAAGCUAAGAUGUAAGCAUAUCGUAUUUUCUUUACAAUUGUUUACCCGACAUCUUUUGAGAAUAAAUGAAAUUAUUAAUAACGCAGUAUUAAAAAAGAACAGCAUAUAAUUCACAUUCUCAAGAACCAUAAAUUGCGAAUGAAGAUACGCCAGCCACAGCCGUAUGUAAUAUCGAAUUCGAAAAGAAUUAUAAUAUUAUUAACUCAUAUUCAUAUGUUUUCAGGUAUAUGCUCCACCUCCACUUCCGUAUGAUCAUAAUAUGGAUGUGGAACAGAACGUGGAUUCAUGGAGAGAGCACAUUUUCCGAGAGCUCACAGAUUACGCAAGAACCCAUGACAUUUAUUCCUGA